rnacentral:rRNA from 1 species
GCCCAGACUCCUACGGGAGGCAGCAGUGGGGAAUAUUGGGCAAUGGGCGCAAGCCUGACCCAGCAACGCCGCGUGAAGGAAGAAGGCUUUCGGGUUGUAAACUUCUUUUAAGAGGGAAGAGUAGAAGACGGUACCUCUUGAAUAAGCCACGGCUAACUACGUGCCAGCAGCCGCGGUAAUACGUAGGUGGCAAGCGUUGUCCGGAUUUACUGGGUGUAAAGGGCGUGUAGCCGGGCCGGCAAGUCAGAUGUGAAAUCCCAAGGCUCAACCUUGGAACUGCAUUUGAAACUGUUGGUCUUGAGUAUCGGAGAGGCAGGCGGAAUUCCUAGUGUAGCGGUGAAAUGCAUAGAUAUCACGCAGAACUCCGAUUGCGAAGGCAGCAUACCGGCGCCCAACUGACGCUGAAGCACGAAAGCGUGGGUAUCGAACAGGAUUAGAUACCCCUGUA